CCCUCAUCCUGCGCAUGCUCGCCCCGUGACCCUAGCUUGAGGUGACGGCGGGAGCCAAGGCGGGGGCCCAAAGCACUGAGGCUGAGGGACCCGCCACGGCUCCGUCGUCCGAGAGGCAGGGCCUGCUGCCGUCGGACAGAGCCUCUGGACUCCCAGGUUCCUGGCCAGGGAGGAGGAGGAAAAGGUGAGACCUAUCUGCCAGGGCUGGGCGUGGCCUGAGGGCCAGGCUGUUGGUCCUGGGAUGCCUCAGCCCAAACCCAGUGAGCAGGAGGGUGAGAGCAUGAAGGCCAGCCAGGAACCAGCUCCCCAGCCUGGCACAGAUGUGGUCCCAGCAGCCCCCAGGAAGCCCAGAAAGUUCUCCAAACUGGUUCUGCUGACAGCCUCCAAAGACAGCGCCAAAGUGGCUGGGGCCAAGCGCAAAGGAGUGCACUGCAUCAUGUCCCUGGGGGUGCCAGGCCCAGCCACCUUGGCUAAGGCCCUCCUCAAGACUCAUCCUGAGGCUCAGCGGGCCAUUGAAGCGACUCCCCUGGAGCCCGAGCAGAAGCGCAGCAAGCAGAACCUGGGGGCUAAACUCUCAGGCAAGCCAAGAUGGAGUGCCCAUUGCUACAAGCCUGGAGUUCUUUGGGGACCAUAAGGACCCUCAGCCUCCUACCCACAACAUAAGCAGUAUGGAGGAGUCCAGAAAGACCUUGAUUCAGAUGGUCCAGAAGACAAUGGAGGGUCAGGGGUGUCUUCUUCAAGUUCAGAGGAGACCACUGUGCUCCCUGAGGCCCCCAGCACUUCCCCAUAACCUUGGCAACUGCUGUUGCAUAAGCUACUUUUAUAAGUAAGAAACAAAGAGAGAAAAUAAAAGAAGCUGUGUGCUAUUUCCCACCAUG